rnacentral:rRNA from 1 species
AGUGAACGCUGGCGGUAGGCCUAACACAUGCAAGUCGAACGGCAGCACAGUAAGGGCUUGCUCUUACGGGUGGCGAGUGGCGGACGGGUGAGGAAUACAUCGGAAUCUACUUUUUCGUGGGGGAUAACGUAGGGAAACUUACGCUAAUACCGCAUACGACCUACGGGUGAAAGCAGGGGAUCUUCGGACCUUGCGCGAUUGAAUGAGCCGAUGUCGGAUUAGCUAGUUGGCGGGGUAAAGGCCCACCAAGGCGACGAUCCGUAGCUGGUCUGAGAGGAUGAUCAGCCACACUGGAACUGAGACACGGUCCAGACUCCUACGGGAGGCAGCAGUGGGGAAUAUUGGACAAUGGGCGCAAGCCUGAUCCAGCCAUACCGCGUGGGUGAAGAAGGUCUUCGGGUUGUAAAGCCCUUUUGUUGGGAAAGAAAAGCAGCAGGUUAAUACCCCGCUGUUCUGACGGUACCCAAAGAAUAAGCACCGGCUAACUUCGUG